CGCGAACGCUGGCGGCAGGCCUAACACAUGCAAGUCGAACGGACCCUUCGGGGUUAGUGGCGGACGGGUGAGUAACACGUGGGAACGUGCCUUUAGGUUCGGAAUAGCUCCUGGAAACGGGUGGUAAUGCCGAAUGUGCCCUUAGGGGGAAAGAUUUAUCGCCUUUAGAGCGGCCCGCGUCUGAUUAGCUAGUUGGUGAGGUAAUGGCUCACCAAGGCUACGAUCAGUAGCUGGUCUGAGAAGAUGACCAGCCACAUUGGGACUGAGACACGGCCCAAACUCCUACGGGAGGCAGCAGUGGGGAAUCUUGCGCAAUGGGCGAAAGCCUGACGCAGCCAUGCCGCGUGGAUGAUGAAGGUCUUAGGAUUGUAAAAUCCUUUCACCGGUGAAGAUAAUGACUGUAGCCGGAGAAGAAGCCCCGGCUAACUUCGUGCCAGCCGCCGCCGUAAAAC
rnacentral:rRNA from 1 species